UGAGGAAUAUUCGGCAAUGGGGGCAACCCUGACCGAGCAACGCCGCGUGGAGGAUGACGGUUUUUGGAUUGUAAACUCCUUUUCUCAGGGAAGAGUGAGGACGGUACCUGAGGAAUAAGUCACGGCUAACUACGUGCCAGCAGCCGCGGUAAUACGUAGGUGGCAAGCGUUAUCCGGAAUUACUGGGCGUAAAGCGCACGCAGGUGGUUUGCUAAGAUUGACGUGAAAGCGCCUGGCUUAACUGGGCGAGGUCGUUGAUGACUGGUAGACUUGAGGCGAGGAGAGGGGUGUAGAAUUCCCGGUGUAGUGGUGGAAUGCGUAGAUAUCGGGAGGAAUACCAGUGGCGAAAGCGGCACCCUGGCCUUGGCCUGACGCUCAGGUGCGAAAGCGUGGGGAGCGAACGGG
rnacentral:rRNA from 2 species